GAGCGGGGGGUCGCGUAAAACUAAAGCGAUUCAUCGAUGAUUAUUUUGCCUUCUUGAUGUCACAAGAGAUGUCCGGAGAGAGAUUGUUGACAAUAGCUAAUGAACUUAAUGAUGCCAUUAAGUUUACUCUAGAGAUGCCUAAUAACAACCAACUGCCAUUCCUAGACACUUUGGUAUCUUAUAAUCCCGCAGCUAAAUCUUUCUCAGCUACACUUUAUACCAAACCCAUUCACAGCAAAUGCAUCACGCCGUGGGAUAGUCAUGGGUCAGUAGCAUCUAAGCGGGCCAUUCUUGUGGGUGAAACCAGAAGGGCCAUUGGUUGCUCUACGAACCCCACUCAUUGUAAAGAAUCUCUUAAUAAGGUCUUUACAUUGUUCGUGAACAAUGGAUAUCCUAGAAGGUUUGUUAGGGAUACAAUAAGACACACAACACGCAAUAAACCACGUAAGGAUGACAAACGAGAAAAUAUCUAUGUGAAACUUCCCUAUAUUAACGAAGAACUUAAACGACGUGCCCUUUCAGUAAUACGUAGAUCAGGAAUCAACAAUGUCAAAAUUCAUUUCAUGAACGGCAGACCUUCAUCACGAGUAUUUGCCCCACCCAGAGAUAGAGCAAGCUGUCGGGAAGAUUGCGAAACAUGUAAAUCAGCAAGUAAACCUAAACAGUGUAUGAUAAAGAACGUCAUUUAUGAAAUCAUAUGUUCAAGUUGCGGAAUUGUAUAUGUUGGAGAAACCGGUAGAACAAUUGGAUCGCGAAUUAAGGAACACUUAAAAAUGGACAAACAAACUGUGUACAAACAUAUAGAAUCUCAUAAGAGUAGACGACCAGAUCAAUCCGACAUAAGUUGGAAAAUACUACAUAGAAAUAUAGCCUACCAAGAAGAACGCAAAUGUAUCGAAGCCUUUGAAAUACAUAACCGUAGCAAAAAUAUUAUGAACGGUUGCAUAGGUAGAACAAUUAGUAUUUAAUUAACCAAACACUGCUUGACCGGACUCGUAGCUAAUUGACAUUUCAAUAGAUU